AUUUAUUUAAUCAUGACAAGAGGGUGAUUUUUAAAAAAUACAGCGCUCAUAAGCAAGUGAAGUGAUUUAGUUUCAUUGAACGGUUUGGUUUUGGGGAGAAAAUCAAGACAUAUUUAAGAAAACGUGUUUUAAACCUGCAUUCUUGUGCGCCUUCUGAAAUAUGAUCCCUAAAAGUACCAGAGGAAUCAAGCCGGGGCCGAACCUCCUGCGCAGUCCCUGGUCCUAGGUAGGGGUCGCGCGGUUUAUAUGGGACUGGUCCGCGACUGCGAGACUGCGGGCCCAAGGAUGUUUUCAGGAACCUGCCCACUAAACGAUUCCCCUGCACUCUUUGCCCAAACGUCGGAUCCCCUCCGAGGUCAGAACCCGGAUGAGGUAAGGGGUUUACCCCGGUCAACACUACAACCAGACGGCACAGCUCCCCCCAAGGACCCCUGGCCGGCGGAGCCCUUGAGGCGAAUCGAAGGCCCUGAAACGUCGGCCGUCUCGGUACGGAACUACGACUGACUC